GCGUCGAUAGCGCAACGGGUUAGAGCGCGCACCCUUGGAAAGGGUGAAAUACGGGUUCGAGUCCCGCCUGGCGCA